AUUGAACGCUGGCGGCGGGCCUAACACAUGCAAGUCGAGCGGAUGAAGGGAGCUUGCUCCUGGAUUCAGCGGCGGACGGGUGAGUAAUGCCUAGGAAUCUGCCUGGUAGUGGGGGAUAACGUCCGGAAACGGGCGCUAAUACCGCAUACGUCCUGAGGGAGAAAGUGGGGGAUCUUCGGACCUCACGCUAUCGGAGGAGCCUAGGUCGGAUUAGCUAGUUGGUGGGGUAAAGGCCUACCAAGGCGACGAUCCGUAACUGGUCUGAGAGGAUGAUCAGUCACACUGGAACUGAGACACGGUCCAGACUCCUACGGGAGGCAGAAGUGGGGAAUAUUGGACAAAGGGCGAAAGCCUGAUCCAGCCAUGCCGCGUGUGUGCAGAAGGUCUUCGGAUUGUAAAGCACUUUAAGUUGGGAGGAAGGGCAGUAAGUUAAUACCUUGCUGUUUUGACGUUACCAACAGAAUAAGCACCGGCUAACUUCGUG
rnacentral:rRNA from 1 species